UUCACUAUCCUUCUGAAUCUUAACCUGAAAGAUGACAUAAUUUUGUCAUGGAGAAAAUAGAAACUGAUUUUGAUUCAAAAUAUGCAGAAAGCAAAGCAUACUGAUCCAUCCGAAGUUGUAUAGUUUGGCAUAUCUCCAGAUUGAAACUCCAUAUCAUCAGGUAUUAGCUACAAAACAAGAUGAGAGCACGAAGUUGCAGAAAUGGAAGAUGUGAUCACAUUUUUAUGUAUGUAAAAUUUGUAAAUGCAUCUAAUAGUUGUAGAGACAUGAUAGGAAAACUAAUAAGCUUCAAUACAAAUGGGUUACAUAAGAGACCAGAUAUAGUUAGAACAUGACAGAACAUUACUAUUGUGCACUUGAAUAUAAGAUUAAGCAUUACUGAUGUAGAACACAAUAGAACACUCAAAGGGAAUGAGGAACAAUUCUCAAAAUCAAUUGUCAAUAAUAAAAGGUCUCUUGAUACUCGGACUCUUCCAUUUACCAUGCCAUACCCGUGUCGACACGACACAACACAACACAGGAUAUGUAUCCGACACACAUGCAUGAAGUUGGACACAUAGUGACAAGAUGAAGAGAGUCAUGACCCAUCACAGAUCCAGACGAAACAGACCAAAAAAAAAAAAAAAGGAAGAAGAUCAGAUGAUGAUAUUCAAAGUUAUCAUCCAAAAAAUCUCCUUAACCACUGAACAGAGAAGAAAAAGGAUAGAAGUAGGAGAACACAGGUUUCCACUGGCUAAAGGAAGAUGGAGCUCUUUUUUCUGAAGGUACACUAGUCAAUAAAUUGCAGAACACUACUCAACUUGGUUCUGGUGGCACCACUUUCAAGCUUCGCAUCCACUCACAGAAACUGGGAUCAUCAAAGUGAAUAAAGCUGCAUUUUAGCUUUGUUCGCUGUUCUGUUGUUAAAGAUCGAAGCUGUGGGAAUCUUGCCUCCUGCUCAUAAGGAGGAUCCUUAUGUGCUGGUAUCAGGCGAGAAACAAAGUAUCGAGCUUGAGAGCUCCCCUCCUGUUAUCAAUACACAUAUAUGGAACAAUUAAUCGAUAAAACUGCAAAGAGAAAACACUGAGGAAGACAAUCAUGCAAAAAGUACCUUAAAUGCAAGGAUUCUAGGAGCUGGAAACCGCAAUUCGGUGAGCUCUUCAGCUAAUGUUCUGCAAGCUGCCAAAGCUGCUGCACUUCUUCCUUCAUCAGCAGCUAGUUCAGCACCCUGUGGUUACCAGUUAUCAGGAAAAUGUCUUUAAUAGGGAGUGACCAAUUAAGAUGAUAUGAUUCAAGUCAGUGAGAUUCUCAACAGACGGAAAGGAAAUCCAGGAUGUAGGGAAAAUAUUUAAAGCGGUUAGGCUCCGUCUGACAGACAAUCUUCUUGUAGUGGCACUUUUUUGAUAUAAUCAGAGAUCUAUUUAGGAUAUGGCAUUUGUAAUGUGAAAAUCAACACACAGGUCUGAAGAUGGAUGAACAGAAUGUUUCCCAUUGAUGUGUAAGACUGUCAUAAUAUUACAGUCAAUGACAACAUUGGAUAUAUUAAUUGCAUGGCCCAUUUGAUUUCUGCAGUUAUCAAUGACAUUAAGAACGUCUAUGGAAGUCUGUUACCACAAGAGUCAUUUAUAAGGACCUAGGCUAGCAAGAAGGCAAUGAAUGCUUGGAUUAUGUUUUUCUUCUUGAUAUUUUCUUCCAUAAUCUCAGUUGAACUCAGCUAAGCAUCUAUCACAAAUAUUUUCUUCCAGUAAAUAUUUUUCUUAAUGUUAAAUCAUUUGAAACUAUGCAACAAUAAGGUAGAGAAAACAUAUUACUCUCAAGGCAUUACAUCCACCUCCAUAUUAUUGAAUUUCCUUCCCUCUCAAAGUGGCACAGGUGCAUGGAUGCAUACAUACACACAUACACACAUGAAGAGGCACAUGCAUAUACAUGAAGUUCAAAAAUACAUUGGUCAUAGGCAUGAGAUGGCAAAAAACAUUUUUAAAAGACUAAUCAAUAAAUCUGCAGCACCAGGGAUCAAAACUGUGAACCAGGGAUCAAAAACUGUGCCAUACUCUAACAACAAAAAUAAUAGUUAAGUAGCUUACCAACCAGAUGAAUACAUCAGUACCAUGGUCAAGAACAACAGCUGUAUCAGACUGCAUUGCUAGGUCAUAAGCAGGUAAUUCUUCAAAAGUGCCCCCUUCCCGGUGCAUUAAACAACGAGGUGCUACCAUACGGAAUGAAAGAUCAAAGGACGCAUUCAGAAACAAAUUCCGUAACACAGACCUCUCAUCUUCAUGUCCAACAAUGUUCCCCAAAAGUGGUCCCCUUCUAAGAUGGAAAAGGAACUCUGGUAACAAUGAGAGUUCUUUGGGGAAUCGAUGAAGUUUUGACUUAGGUACCUGGGACCCAAAUUUCAAAGCAAUGUCUUUAAUUCUCUCAUCUAUUGUUGCUUGCAUAUCAAGUGCAUCAGAAUAGUUUUUAGCUCGCAAGAGAGUCCUCUUGGCAAUAAGGAUUGCAGCCACUUCAUCUUGAACACUUUCAAGAUAUGCAGAAACACUAUCAACAGUAGGCAAUCUAACAGUAAUAACUCUUGAAAUAUCAGCUUGAUAAAUGCCUGAGUAUUGAAUUGCAAACUGGAAAUAUACACAGUCGCUUUUGAUGUCUCCUUUAAUUUCCAUGGAAAGAGAAAAGCUCUGGGUUUCUUCUACACUUAACAUUUGAAUUGAGAGAGAAGUGUCAAUUUUGAAAGCUUCACGAGUGUCUAUGUAUGCCUCUUCACCAGGACCCACGACUUGAGUAAUAAGAAUAUCAUCGGAACACCGAAUCUCCAAUAAUCCCUGGGAACCUGAUGCCCUAGUAGAUGCCCUUUGCAAGUUUACACCAAAUGCUUCUCCAAAGUCAUCAUGAAGAACCAAAACACCCCCAGAAGCUUUUGCAAGAGGCUGCAAAACUGGAACUCUAACAGGACACGUUCCAGCGCAUAAAAUGUCAACCACUGUAUUGUGUCGAAGAGCUUCGUGACCCAGAUGCUCCAUCCAUUUUAAUGCCAUCUUUUCCAUAUGAGGAUAAUUUGGGUGACUAAAAGAAUGUGGGACAGAUCCAGGGCCAUAAGUGUUAGGCCCACCAGUGCACACAAUAAUUCUGCUAUUACCUCCAGCCCGUUUGACUACACCUCGAGACAUUUCUGCAGAUGGUCCUUGAAUUAUACCCAGUGCAACCUCAACUGCAGUACCCAGGCACCGAUCUCUUGAAACUUCCGCAAUGUUCAAUUUAUAUGGUCUUAAUGAUGAAAAAAUUAGGUGUGCCACUUCUUUUGAAGCAUGCAUUGGUGACAAGUACACGCCAGUUCCAUAGAUCAAUGCUUUCAAGGAUUCCUGAGAAGGUGAUUUAUCACCUGGAAGUACAUCAGCAGAUGCCAUUGAUUCCUCUGAAAAAUCAUAAACUGAUACUGUACGGCCAUACAAUAUGAUUCCAAUUCUUGCUGUAGGGGGAAGUGAAUCGACAAACGCAUGCAAGGAGCUCUGUAAAUGUUGCAGGUGUGGUUCAUCUAAACAGUCGUCUAUAACAAGAACAAUGGGUGCAGACAUUCUGGAAUCAGAAACUGGAACAAAACCAGGUCUCUUGUUCCCAGUUUGAACAUAGUCAACCAUGGGUGACGACAUUUCUGGGAAGUUGCGAAGAUCUUCUUUGCUUGGAGCUAUGUAUUCACCAUCACUUCCAUUCAAUUUCCUGCAAAUCACGCAUUGCCACUGGCCUGAACCAAGUAAUAUCUUGCAAUAAAGAUUUGCAUAAGCUCCGCAAUUUUGGCAUCGAUGUGGAUCACGCUGUAUUAUCUGAUGACCUGAUGAAAUCUCCCUUCCAGGAGAAAUCAAAGCCCCAAAACCCAAACUGGAUACAUUUGCAAGUUUCUUCUGUUUCAAAACCUUGUGAGCAGAAAAUAAGACACAUGGUAAUUCCUCAAUAGAUACUGAAUCCUCUGUAGCUAAGGGAACUUGGUGCUGCAACUCAGUCGACCCAUUUGAGAAAUGGGGAGGUGAUGAUGUGGGCAAUGAUGAUCCUGAUGAGAAAGCAACUGGCUGUGGUGUUGCAGGAGAAGUCCGGAAAGGCACAGCAGCAGGCCGCACUGGUGAAGUAAAAACAGGAGGGCCAGGGGGAGUGCUUAAAUGAGGAAUUGGCUUUCCAACCAAUGGUGAUAGUAAAUUUGGAGGUUUGAUCGAGGGGGAAGGGUUCUGAUCUUGUUGCAAAUUCGGAGAAGGAAAUAUAGCGGCUCCAGGUAACAUUGGAAGAGAAGGAGGAAUUGGAGUUUUCUCAGGUUGAGGUGUGGACGCAUCACGAUUUGUGGGAGUGUCAGUCGGAGGAUAUCCAAGAGAAUAUUGCGGUGGAUUAGCCAUUGAAGUUCAAAGUUUUCUUAAUUGAAGAGCAAAAACUUUCAAGAACUCAAAACCAAAUAUGAGAUUUAUAAAAAGCUAUAAACAAUUCAAUCCGAAAAUGACAAGAGAUUCAGAGUAAGGGGUUUGAGACUGCACUUAACUUCAACGGGUUAUUCAUAAAGUGUAAUCAAGAAAUGACAGAAAAAAAAAAAAAAAAAAAA
rnacentral:misc_RNA from 1 species